GGAGCAGUGGAAACAUGUGGAGAAAGUUUCCACCGGUUUGAUAGGUACUUAAACUUCUCAAAUCCACUCAUUGCCAAGAAUUUUGACCCUCAUGCUUGUGGCUGGGCAUAUGGUAUGAAUGUAUUUGAUUUAGCUGAGUGGAGGAACCAAAAGAUAACAGAAGUCUACCACUCGUGGCAAAAUCUGAACCACGAUAGGCUGUUGUGGAAGCUGGGAACUCUUCCUCCCGGUCUAAUAACAUUCUGGAACCGCACAUUCUCUCUAGACCGCGCAUGGCACGCUUUAGGCCUUGGG
rnacentral:misc_RNA from 1 species